UCACAGAGGGUCGUCUGAUUGAUGGGGCUUCUUUCUCAUAUUGUAGCAUCUUUGCCUUUAUGAUAUAAAGGUCACCAAGGCAACUGUUGUUGUGAUUUGGAGCAAUCUUCGGCCGUUGGGUAGCAGCUGGUAUCCAGGGGGACACAGGCACUGGAAACUACCAAUCGUAUUUCGGCAUUCAUGUUGGCACGGUUUCUUGAGGAGGCACUCGUCCACAUCUGACAGCUCUGCCUGGUGAUGCGAGAUACUCCAUGGGAACGGGAGAGGAUUGGCCUGCCGAGGGAUGACACCAGCUGUGGGACGAGUCUCGC